AAAUGAGGCUCAACUUGGAGAGCCUCAGCCAAAUCCUGGGGAGGGUUUAGGCAUCCAAAUGGGUAGCAAUAGCUCCGUCCCUUUGGAGAGACGGUCCAGAGACCGGGCCAGUCAGACCCGGUCGGGAAAUCCGUCUU
rnacentral:ncRNA from 1 species